rnacentral:rRNA from 1 species
GACAGAGGGUGCAAACGUUGUUCGGAAUUACUGGGCGUAAAGCGCGUGUAGGCGGCCCUGCAAGUCGGGUGUGAAAUCCCAUGGCUCAACCAUGGAAGUGCACUCGAAACUGCAGGGCUAGAGUCCUGGAGAGGAAGGUGGAAUGCUUGGUGUAGAGGUGAAAUUCGUAGAUAUCAAGCGGAACACCGGUGGCGAAGGCGGCCUUCUGGACAGUGACUGACGCUGAGACGCGAAAGCGUGGGGAGCAAGCAGG